AAAUAAAAAAUGAAAAAAAAAAAACCCUAUUAUCAUGUAUCAAUUGAUAAUCAUGAAGUUACAAGAGGACAAGGAAUUUUUUAGACAAGUUUUAUUGGGAUGUUCAAUUUGAUGAUAUAACUGGCUUGAGAAGUCACUGUUGAGAGACAAAUUUGUAAUGGUUAGAAGCAUAAGUGAACUUUUGGAAAAUAAUACUCUGUGUGUUUGUGUGUGUAUAUAGUUAUCUAUAUUAAUAAUAGGGGUUGGAAGAAAAAAGGGGGAAAGAGGGGGUGCAUUUUCUAGUGACAUUCUCAUGUUGGAAUGGUUUCAUAUCUAUGUGGAGUUUGGCAUUGCUCUUGAUAUACGUCAUAACAUUAAAUUCUUUUCAUUUUGUUUUGGUUUCCAAUUGAUGCAGGGAACUUCUAAA
rnacentral:misc_RNA from 1 species